rnacentral:rRNA from 1 species
UACGGGGGGAGCAAGCGUUGUUCGGAUUUACUGGGCGUAAAGGGCGCGUAGGCGGCCUCCGCAAGUCAGUUGUGAAAUCUCCGGGCUUAACCCGGAAAGGUCAGCCGAUACUGCGGGGCUAGAGUGCAGAAGGGGCAACUGGAAUUCUCGGUGUAGCGGUGAAAUGCGUAGAUAUCGAGAGGAACACCUGCGGCGAAGGCGGGUUGCUGGGCUGACACUGACGCUGAGGCGCGAAAGCUAGGGGAGCGAACGGG